AACAACAUUCCCUAGUUAUGGUCUUCUCUCAGCCAUCAUAUGGAUAAAUGCCCAGCUCUGCAGCAUUUAUCCCUAGUCGUGCCAUAGCAGCCUGCAGUAUAUCCUGAUCUACCGUCAUCAGGGUUUGUCCUGGAGGAGCGACAAGUGGAGGCUGAUUCACCGAGUUCUCACUCUUUGACUAUGGUCCAGGAUCACUUGAUGUAUAGGAUGAAUAUGACGCGAAGGUGCUGACACCAGAAUUUCCUUCCAUUUCUUCUAGAUCCUCUUCUUCUUC
rnacentral:lncRNA from 1 species